AUACAGAGGGUGCAAGCGUUAAUCGGAUUUACUGGGCGUAAAGCGUGCGUAGGUGGUCUUUUAAGUCGGAUGUGAAAUCCCUGAGCUUAACUUAGGAAUUGCAUUCGAUACUGGGAAGCUAGAGUAUGGGAGAGGAUGGUAGAAUUCCAGGUGUAGCGGUGAAAUGCGUAGAGAUCUGGAGGAAUACCGAUGGCGAAGGCAGCCAUCUGGCCUAAUACUGACGCUGAGGUACGAAAGCA
rnacentral:rRNA from 1 species